rnacentral:rRNA from 1 species
AGCGAACGCUGGCGGCAGGCCUAACACAUGCAAGUCGAACGAACCCUUCGGGGUUAGUGGCGGACGGGUGAGUAACACGUGGGAACGUGCCUUUAGGUUCGGAAUAACUCAGGGAAACUUGUGCUAAUACCGAAUGUGCCCUUCGGGGGAAAGAUUUAUCGCCGUUAGAGCGGCCCGCGUCUGAUUAGCUAGUUGGUGAGGUAAUGGCUCACCAAGGCUACGAUCAGUAGCUGGUCUGAGAGGAUGACCAGCCACAUUGGGACUGAGACGCGGCCCAAACUCCUACGGGAGGCAGCAGUGGGGAAGCUUGCGCAAUGGGCGAAAGCCUGACGCAGCCAUGCCGCGUGGAUGAUGAAGGUCUUAGGAUUGUAAAAUCCUUUCACCGGUGAAGAUAAUGACUGUAGCCGGAGAAGAAGCCCCGGCUAACUUCGUGCCAGCAGCCGCCGUAACAC